rnacentral:rRNA from 1 species
CAAUAGCGUAUAUUAAAGUUGUUGCAGUUAAAAAGCUCGUAGUUGGAUUUCUGGUUGAAGCGACCGGUCGGGCGUUGAUUCGUCUGCACUGGAGUCGGUUUUGGCCAUCCUCUAGGAAAGUGCGUCUGGUAUUAAGUUGUCGGGCGUAUGAUCCUGGUCUUUUACUGUGAAAAAAUUAGAGUGUUUAAAGCAGGCCUUCGCCUUGAAUACAUUAGCAUGGAAUAAUAAGAUAGGACUUUGGUCUAUUUUGUUGGUUUGCAGACCGAAGUAAUGAUUAAUAGGGAUAGUUGGGGGUAUUUAUAUUCCGAUGUCAGAGGUGAAAUUCUUAGAUUUUCGGAAGAUAAACUUAUGCGAAAGCAUUUACCAAGGAUGUUUUCAUUAA